GACGAACGCUGGCGGCGUCCUUAUACAUGCAAUUGAGCGAUGAAGAUUGUGCUUCACAAAUUUGAAGAGCAGCGAACGGGUGAGUAACGCGUGGGGAAUCUGCCUUUGAGCGGGGGACAACAUUUGGAAACGAAUGCUAAUACCGCAUAACAACUUUAAACAUAAGUUUUAAGUUUGAAAGAUGCAAUUGCAUCACUCAAAGAUGAUCCCGCGUUGUAUUAGCUAGUUGGUGAGGUAAAGGCUCACCAAGGCGAUGAUACAUAGCCGACCUGAGAGGGUGAUCGGCCACAUUGGGACUGAGACACGGCCCAAACUCCUACGGGAGGCAGCAGUAGGGAAUCUUCGGCAAUGGACGAAAGUCUGACCGAGCAACGCCGCGUGAGUGAAGAAGGUUUUCGGAUCGUAAAACUCUGUUGGUAGAGAAGAACGUUGGUGAGAGUGGAAAGCUCAUCAAGUGACGGUAACUACCCAGAAAGGGACGGCUAACUACGUGCCAGCAGCCGCGGUAAUACGUAGGUCCCGAGCGUUGUCCGGAUUUAAUGGGCGUAAAGCGAGCGCAGGUGGUUUAUUAAGUCUGGUGUAAAAGGCUGUGGCUCAACCAUUGUAUGCAUUGGAAACUGGUAGACUUGAGUGCAGGAGAGGAGAGUGGAAUUCCAUGUGUAGCGGUGAAAUGCGUAGAUAUAUGGAGGAACACCGGUGGCGAAAGCGGCUCUCUGGCCUGUAACUGACACUGAGGCUCGAAAGCGUGGG
rnacentral:rRNA from 1 species